GACGAACCGAGCGAACGUUAUUCGGAAUCACUGGGCUUAAAGGGCGCGUAGGCGGGUGAUCAAGUCAGGGGUGAAAGCCCCCAGCUCAACUGGGGAAGUGCCUCUGAUACUGGUCGUCUCGAGGGAGGUAGGGGCGUGCGGAACUUCCGGUGGAGCGGUGAAAUGCGUAGAUAUCGGAAGGAACACCGGUGGCGAAAGCGGCGCGCUGGACCUCUUCUGACGCUGAGGCGCGAAAGCCAGGGGAGUGAACGGG
rnacentral:rRNA from 1 species